GACGAAGGGGGCUAGCGUUGUUCGGAAUUACUGGGCGUAAAGCGCGUGUAGGCGGACCAGCAAGUCGGACGUGAAAUCCCUGAGCUCAACUCAGGAACUGCAUCCGAAACUGCUGGUCUGGAGUGGUGGAGAGGUAAGCGGAAUUCCUGGUGUAGCGGUGAAAUGCGUAGAUAUCAGGAGGAACACCUGUGGUGUAGACAGCUUACUGGACCAUUUCUGACGCUGAGACACGAAAGCGUGGGUAGCAAACAGG
rnacentral:rRNA from 1 species